rnacentral:rRNA from 1 species
UACGUAGGGGGCAAGCGUUAUCCGGAUUUACUGGGUGUAAAGGGAGCGUAGACGGCAGUGCAAGUCCGGAGUGAAAGCCCGGGGCUCAACCCUGGGACUGCUCUGGAAACUGUAAAGCUGGAGUGCGGGAGGGGCAGGCGGAAUUCCUGGUGUAGCGGUGAAAUGCGUAGAUAUCAGGAGGAACACCGGCGGCGAAGGCGGCCUGCUGGGCUUUAACUGACGCUGAGGCUCGAAAGCGUGGGGAGCAAACAGG